CUACGGGUGGCACCAGUGAGGAAUAUUGCACAAUGGGGGGAACCCUGAUGCAGCAACGCCGCGUGGAGGAUGACGCAUUUCGGUGUGUAAACUCCUUUUAUAUGUCAAGAAAAUGACGGUAGCAUAUGAAUAAGCACCGGCUAACUCCGUGCCAGCAGCCGCGGUAAUACGGAGGGCGCAAGCGUUACUCGGAAUCACUGGGCGUAAAGGACGCGUCGGCGGGUUGGAAAGUCAGGUGUGAAAUCCUACAGCUUAACUGUAGAACUGCACUUGAAACUUCUAAUCUAGAGUAUGGGAGGGGGAGAUGGAAUUAGUGGUGUAGGGGUAAAAUCCGUAGAUAUCACCAGGAAUACCUAAAGCGAAGGCGAUCUCCUGGAACAUUACUGACGCUAAGGCGUGAAAGCGUGGGGAGCAAACAGGAUUAGAUACCCGCGUAGUC
rnacentral:rRNA from 1 species